UCAAACUUGGUCAUUUAGAGGAAGUAAAAGUCGUAACAAGGUUUCCGUAGGUGAACCUGCGGAAGGAUCAUUACAGAGUACCGGUGCCUCCGGGCGCCCGCUCCCACCACGUGUGAACCCCUUUAACCGUUGCUUUGGCGGGCCGGCGUCCGGCCCUCCGGCCUCCGCCCGGGAGCGCUCGCCAGAGGUCGACCAAAACCCGUCUCGACGUGGAGUCCGAGUCUGAGCUUUAAAUAGAGUCCAAAACUUUCAACGACGGAUCUCUUGGUUCUGGCAUCGAUGAAGAACGCAGC
rnacentral:misc_RNA from 1 species